rnacentral:rRNA from 1 species
CCUACGGGGGGCUGCAGUAGGGAAUAUUGGUUAAUGGACGAAAGUCUGAACCAGCAACGCCGCGUGUGCGAUGAAGGCCUUCGGGUCGUAAAGCACUUUUUGGAGGGACGAGGAAGGACGGUACCUCCAGAAUAAGCCUCGGCUAACUACGUGCCAGCAGCCGCGGUAACACGUAGGAGGCAAGCGUUAUCCGGAUUUACUGGGCGUAAAGCGCGUGUAGGCGGCUCGGAUAGUUGGAUGUGAAAGCUCCUGGCUUAACUGGGAGAGGUCGUUCAAUACUUCCGGGCUCGAGAGUGGUAGAGGGAGGUGGAAUUCCGAGUGUAGUGGUGAAAUGCGUAGAUAUUCGGAGGAACACCAGUGGCGAAAGCGGCCUCCUGGACCAUUUCUGACGCUCAGACGCGAAAGCUAGGGUAGCAAACGGGCUUAGAUACCCCUGUAGUC